UGGGGAAUUUUGGACAAUGGGCGCAAGCCUGAUCCAGCCAUGCCGCGUGCGGGAAGAAGGCCUUCGGGUUGUAAACCGCUUUUGUCAGGGAAGAAAUCUUCUGAGUUAAUACCUCGGGGAGGAUGACGGUACCUGAAGAAUAAGCACCGGCUAACUACGUGCCAGCAGCCGCGGUAAUACGUAGGGUGCAAGCGUUAGUCGGAAUUACUGGGCGUAAAGCGUGCGCAGGCGGUUUUGUAAGACAGAGGUGAAAUCCCCGGGCUCAACCUGGGAACUGCCUUUGUGACUGCAAGGCUUGAGUGCGGCAGAGGGGGGAUGGAAUUCCGCGUGUAGCAGUGAAAUGCGUAGAUAUGCGGAGGAACACCGAUGGCGAAGGCAAUCCCCUGGGCCUGCACUGACGCUCAUGCACGAAAGCGUGGGGAGCAAACAGGAUUAGAUACCCUGGUAGUCCACGCCCUAAACGAUGUCAACUGGUUGUUGGGAAGGUUCCCUCUCAGUAACGUAGCUAACGCGUGAAGUUGACCGCCUGGGGAGUACGGCCGCAAGGUUGAAACUUAAAUGAAUUGACGGGGGUCAUAGCUG
rnacentral:rRNA from 1 species